rnacentral:rRNA from 1 species
UUGUGCCUACGGGGGGCAGCAGUGAGGAAUAUUGGUCAAUGGGCGCGAGCCUGAACCAGCCAAGUCGCGUGAGGGAGGACGGCCCUACGGGUUGUAAACCUCUUUUGCCGGGGAGCAACGGGCGUCACGUGUGGCGCCACUGAGAGUACCCGGAGAAAAAGCAUCGGCUAACUCCGUGCCAGCAGCCGCGGUAAUACGGAGGAUGCGAGCGUUAUCCGGAUUUAUUGGGUUUAAAGGGUGCGUAGGCGGACUGUUAAGUCAGCGGUAAAAGCCCGGGGCUCAACCCCGGCGAGCCGUUGAAACUG